UACGUAGGGUGCGAGCGUUGCCCGGAUUUAUUGGGCGUAAAGGGCGCGUAGGCGGCCACGCACGUCCGUUGUGAAAUCGCCCGGCUCAACUGGGCGGGGUCGGCGGAUACGGCGUGGCUGGAGCAAGCUAGGGGGCAAUGGAAUUCCCGGUGUAGUGGUGGAAUGCGUAGAUAUCAGGAGGAACACCUGUGGUGUAGACAGCUUACUGGACCAUUACUGACACUGAGACACGAAAGCGUGGGUAGCAAACAGG
rnacentral:rRNA from 1 species